GUAAUGGAGGCGAUUUACGAGGGGGGGAAACACACAUGUAUAUAUAGUUCACGUUUUGUUUUGUUGUAUUUUUUUUAACUGAUUAUGUUCUAAUCUUAUUUUAUGUCGUUAUAAAAUACGCGUGUGCCGAUCAUGCCUGUCUGAUUUUGAUCAGCAUUUUGGUUGGACCUCAGAGGCACCUGUUAUCUGACGGGUAUUUAUGAUCACCUGCCUUCAUUGGAUAUUGGAGCAAUAUUCAUUAUGACAUAAGUGUCAGACGUUUAGGCCUAAUUGCUCCGCCAUUUUCACGGAAGUUUGUAUUUUUUUCCCGUCUGAACCUACCAACACUAACCAUGCUGUAUCGCCUAAGUACUGCAUUAUUAAGAUCAGUUCGCCAUUUGAGGAACAUGUCACGUGGUAUGGCAGUCAGUCCUCAAGAACUACCAAGUGUCGACGGUAAUGUCGUAUUGUUUACGUCACUAACUAUAUUUCUUGGAUCUGUAUUGUUGAUAUCGCAAGUCGAUAUGCCAGAACUCCGCUGUGUGCCCGACAAAAACAGCUUCAAAGGUUUUUAAACGAAUGAAACAUGUUUUCAGCAGAUACAGUACCUCCAUGGUAACAUAAAGACAUCUCUUAGCUGUGUUGCCAUAAGAAAAAAAAACCUGAGGUGCAGUAAAAGCAACAGAAAUUGAUGCUUCUGUAAUUUUAGAAAGCUAGCCAUAAAGAACGUAACAAAAC